rnacentral:rRNA from 1 species
UUUUCGAGAGGUAUGCUUAAAGAUGAGCUUGCGCCACAUUAGUUUGUUGGUGGGGUAAUGGCCUACCAAGACGAUGAUGUGUAGCUGGACUGAGAGGUCGAACAGCCACAUUGGGACUGAGACACGGCCCAAACUCCUACGGGAGGCAGCAGUAGGGAAUUUUCGGCAAUGGAGGAAACUCUGACCGAGCAACGCCGCGUGAACGAUGAAGUAUUUCGGUAUGUAAAGUUCUUUUAUUGAAGAAGAAAAAAUAGUGGAAAAACUAUCUUGACGUUAUUCAAUGAAUAAGCCCCGGCUAACUAUGUGCCAGCAGCCGCGGUAAGACAUAGGGGGCGAGCGUUAUCCGGAAUUAUUGGGCGUAAAGGGUGCGUAGGCGGUUAGGAAAGUCUAUAAUUUAAUUUCAGUGCUUAACGCUGUCUUGUUAUAGAAACUACCUUGACUAGAGUUAGAUAGAGGCAAGCGGAAUUCCAUGUGUAGCGGUAAAAUGUGUAAAUAUAUGGAGGAACACCAGAAGCGUAGGCGGCUUGCUGGGUCUUGACUGACGCUGAGGCACGAAAGCGUGGGUAGCAAACAGGAUUAGAUACCCUGGUAGUCCACGCCGUAAACGAUGAGUACUAAGUGUCGGGAUAAAACUCGGUACUGAAGUUAACACAUUAAGUACUCCGCCUGAGUAGUACGUACGCAAGUAUGAAACUUAAAGGAAUUGACGGGACUCCGCACAAGCGGUGGAUCAUGUUGUUUAAUUCGAAGAUACACGAAAAAUCUUACCAGGUCUUGACAUGCUCUGCAAAGCUAUAGAAAUAUAGUGGAGGUUAUCAGGGACACAGGUGGUGCAUGGUUGUCGUCAGUUCGUGUCGUGAGAUGUUAGGUUAAGUCCUAAAACGAGCGCAACCCUUGUCGUUAGUUACCAGCACGUAAUGGUGGGCACUUUAACGAGACUGCCAAUUAAACAUUGGAGGAAGGUGAGGAUUACGUCAAAUCAUCAUGCCCCUUAUGAUCUGGGCUACAAACGUGAUACAAUGGCUGUUACAAAGAGUAGCUGAAGCGCGAGUUUUUAGCCAAUCUCAAAAAAGCAGUCUCAGUUCGGAUUGAAGUCUGUAACUCGACUUCAUGAAGUUGGAAUCGCUAGUAAUCGCG